rnacentral:rRNA from 1 species
AUUGAACGCUGGCGGCAGGCCUAACACAUGCAAGUCGAACGAGUGGCGGACGGGUGAGUAAUGUCUGGGAAACUGCCCGAUGGAGGGGGAUAACGACGGGAAACGGUAGCUAAUACCGCAUACCAUCGGAUGUGCCCAAGUGGGAUUAGCUAGUAGGUGGGGUAACGGCGCAACUAGGCGACGAUCCCUAGCUGGUCUGAGAGGAUGACCAGCCACAUGGGAACGUGGACACGGUCCAGACUCCUACGGGAGGCAGCAGUGGGGAAUAUUGCACAAUGGGCGCAAGCCUGAUGCAGCCAUGCCGCGUGUAUGAAGAAGGCCUUCGGGUUGGAAAGUACUUCCCGCGAGGAGGCGUUACUCGAAGAAGAAGCACCGGCUAACUCCGUGCCAGCAGCCGCGGUAAUUC